rnacentral:piRNA from 1 species
UCAGCUCCAUCGUUUGUGCUUGUGGG